rnacentral:rRNA from 1 species
GCGAGGCAGAGCAAAUCUCCAAAAGCCGUCCCAGUUCGGAUUGCAGGCUGCAACCCGCCUGCAUGAAGUUGGAAUCGCUAGUAAUCGCGGAUCAGCAUGCCGCGGUGAAUACGUUCCCGGGCCUUGUACACACCGCCCGUCACACCAUGAGAGUCGGGAACACCCGAAGUCCGUAGCCUAACCGCAAGGGGGGCGCGGCCGAAGGUGGGUUCGAUAAUUGGGGUGAAGUCGUAACAAGGUAAC